UAACACGUGGGUAACCUGCCUCAUAGAGUGGAAUAGCUUCCGAAAGGAAGAUUAAUACCGCAUAACGUUGAAAGAUGGCAUCAUCAUUCAACCAAAGGAGCAAUCCGCUAUGAGAUGGACCCGCGGCGCAUUAGCUAGUUGGUGGGGUAACGGCCUACCAAGGCGACGAUGCGUAGCCGACCUGAGAGGGUGAUCGGCCACAUUGGGACUGAGACACGGCCCAG
rnacentral:rRNA from 1 species